rnacentral:rRNA from 1 species
GAGUUUGAUCCUGGCUCAGGACGAACGCUGGCGGCGCGCCUAACACAUGCAAGUCGAACGAGCGAGAGAGAGCUUGCUUUCUCAAGCGAGUGGCGAACGGGUGAGUAACGCGUGAGGAACCUGCCUCAAAGAGGGGGACAACAGUUGGAAACGACUGCUAAUACCGCAUAAGCCCACGACCUGGCAUCGGGUAGAGGGAAAAGGAGCAAUCCGCUUUGAGAUGGCCUCGCGUCCGAUUAGCUAGUUGGUGAGGUAACGGCCCACCAAGGCGACGAUCGGUAGCCGGACUGAGAGGUUGAACGGCCACAUUGGGACUGAGACACGGCCCAGACUCCUACGGGAGGCAGCAGUGGGGAAUAUUGCACAAUGGGGGAAACCCUGAUGCAGCGACGCCGCGUGGAGGAAGAAGGUCUUCGGAUUGUAAACUCCUGUUGUUGAGGAAGAUAAUGACGGUACUCAACAAGGAAGUGACGGCUAACUACGUGCCAGCAGCCGCGGUAAAACGUAGGUCACAAGCGUUGUCCGGAAUUACUGGGUGUAAAGGGAGCGCAGGCGGGAAGACAAGUUGGAAGUGAAAUCCAUGGGCUCAACCCAUGAACUGCUUUCAAAACUGUUUUUCUUGAGUAGUGCAGAGGUAGGCGGAAUUCCCGGUGUAGCGGUGGAAUGCGUAGAUAUCGGGAGGAACACCAGUGGCGAAGGUGGCCUACUGGGCACCAACUGACGCUGAGGCUCGAAAGUGUGGGUAGCAAACAGGAUUAGAUACCCUGGUAGUCCACACCGUAAACGAUGAUUACUAGGUGUUGGAGGAUUGACCCCUUCAGUGCCGCAGUUAACACAAUAAGUAAUCCACCUGGGGAGUACGACCGCAAGGUUGAAACUCAAAGGAAUUGACGG